AACGAACGCUGGCGGCGCGCCUAAUACAUGCAAGUCGAGCGAGAAGGUGUAGCAAUACACUUGUAAAGCGGCGAACGGGUGAGGAAUGCAUGGGUAACCUACCCUCGAGUGGGGAAUAACUAGCCGAAAGGUUAGCUAAUACCGCAUACGUUUCCGGAACUUCGGUUUCGGAAAGAAAGCAAUACCGUGGGUAUUGCGCUCCUGGAUGGGCUCAUGUCCUAUCAGCUUGUUGGUGAGGUAACGGCUCACCAAGGCUUCGACGGGUAGCUGGUCUGAGAGGACGAUCAGCCACACUGGCACUGCGACACGGGCCAGACUCCUACGGGAGCAGCAGUAAGGAAUAUUGCGCAAUGGACGAAAGUCUGACGCAGCGACGCCGCGUGGGGGGAUGAAGGUCUUCGGAUUGUAAACCCCCUUUCGGGAGGGAAGAUGGAGUGGGGUAACCACUUGGACGGUACCUCCAGAAGCAGCCACGGCUAACUUCGUGCCAGCAGCCGC
rnacentral:rRNA from 1 species